GGUUUUAAUUUUUACUUGUUAUUUAAAGGGAGUCUGAGCAUCUUUUCACGUUUCAGAAACAAUGUUUCCUAUUUUGUUAGACACGUAAGUUUUGCACACCCAGUAAAUGUCUAUAGAGAGACGAUCCUCCUGGCGUGGGCAGGCGGGGGAGGCCCGGGGAGCACUGCAGUCGCCUGCCUGCUCAUGUUCUGGGCCCCAGGCCUCUCUGAUGUCCCAGCUCCGGGCCGCCCCCUGCUGCGCCCCCAAGGCCUGUGAAGCUCCUGCUCAGCUGCUUACUGCCCCCCGGACCCCGCCGUGACCGCCGGCCCAGAGCCAGGCCCAGCAGAGGGGGCUGUGCUGGCACCGUCAAGACCUGGUAGCAGACCCACAGAGGCCCCGACGUAAACCCAGACCCAAAUGUAAACCCGGGCCUCAGACGUCAACCUCGGCCCUGAGGUGGGCGGAGCUCCGGCCUGGAGAGGCGAUCCCGGUCUGCGGAGGGCGCGCAGAGCGAGGAUGGCGCCGUGGUCUCCAGAAGCGCCUGGCGGCCCCGUGCGUCCGGGGUCCGCCCCUCAACGGCGCCACGACCAGCACCCGGCACUCGCACCGAGACCCUCACGCCGAGACCCGUCUAUGUCCAGGAGUGAACCGCCAUUUUGGAGAGAGGCCCACACGUGAGGGAGCAGCAGGUGGUCUCUGUCAGCUGAGUGCCUGAGUCCAACAACUACAAGGGAAUAAAUUACAACAAUGACCACGUGUGCUGAGAAGAGGACCAGAGCCUCCAGCCCGGGCCAGCACUUGUAAUGCAGCCUCGUGAGGCCUGAGCAGAGGACCCAGCUAACCUGUACCUGACCCACAGAAACACUCCUGGCCUCUUCUGGUGAAGAAAUAUCCACAUGUCAGCUGGGAUUGCUGCAUCAUCAGAGAUCCUUCUAGAAGCUGCCGAGGAGCUUGGGGAAGUUGUUGGUGUUGUCAGCAAAGAGCUUCCACAUGAACAGGGAAGGUCAUAGCGCAACCUUCAAACAGUAUUGCCCAGCAUCUCACGAAUCUAAUAGGAAUCCAGUGAAUUUGAUGCCAUGACUGCGUGCAGUUGAAGAAGACAGAGGUUAAACCCAAAAGGGUCAAGCCGUCACCUCAAAUGAGUGUUACAGAAGAGACACUCCAAAUCCUCUUCACCUAAAUUCACCUCACUCACAUCUUUCCCACGUGGUGUAAAUGGGUGAUUCCUAGAUGCACAGGCUGGAGAUGUUGCCUUGUCACAGCCCUUCAUCUUAGAAAAAGUGAGUAACAUGAAGUCCAGAGGAGUUAAAUCACCCAGUGUAAGGUUCUCAAGACAUCAGAACUCAAGCAAGAUACGAGCACUGUCUGUCUAGUGCUCCAAUUUCAAAAGAAACCUUAUAACCUUACAAGGCCUACGGUUAGGAAAUUGCCUUUAGGACGUCGUGAUGGGAGUCUCCUGGCAUUGCUCUUCCAGGCUGGCGUGGUCUAUCAAGGUGGACCUGGGGAGCAAAGAUUGGCCCAAAGGAUUGGGCCUCUUCAGGAAGUGGAAUGGAACCACAGCAGCUCCAAGCCUCUGGACAACAGAGCCUGGAAUUGAUCUGAAAAGGCAGAGCGCCUGCAGUCAGAUCUCUGGAAACCUGUGUAAUUUAACCAAGGAGGAGAAAGAUCUAUACUAGAAGAUGUUAAUGAGGGAAACUGAAGAAGAUACAACUAAAUAGAAAGAUAUCUCAUGUUCAUGGAUUAGAAGAAAUAAUACUGUUAAAAUGUCUAUACUAUCCCAAAUAAUCUACAGAUUUGAUGCAAUCCCUAUCAAAAUCCCAAUGGGAUUUUUUACUGAAAUAGAAAAAAAAAUCCUAAAAUUUCUAUGAAACCAUCAAAGACCCCAAAUAGCCAAAGAAAUCUUGAGAAAUAAGAACAAAGCUGGAGGCAUCACACUUUCUGAUUUCAGACUAUAUACAAAGCUAUAAUAAUCAGAACAGUAUGGUAUUGGUAUUCCAAAAAAGGAUAUAUAGUUCAAUAGAACAGAAUAGAAAGCCCAGAAAUAAACUCACACAUAAAUGGUCAAUUAAUUUAUGGCAAUGGAGCCAAGACUAAAAAGUGGGGAACAAUCUCUUCAAUAAGUGGUCCUGGGAAAACUAGAUAGCCACACGAAAAGUGUGAAACUGAACCCUUAUCUUCUAUCACAUGAGAAAAUCAACUCAAAAUGGACUGAAGACUUAAACGUAAGACCUUGAACCGUAAAACUCCCAGAAGAAAAUAUAAGAGGUAAGCUUCUUAACCUCAGUAUUGGCAAAAUUUUUUUUAAAUUUAACACCAAUUGCAUAGGCAACAAAAGCAAAAAUAAACAAGUGGGACUACAUCAAACUAAAAAGCUUCUGCUCAGCAAAGGAAACCAUCAACAAAAUGAAAAGGCAAU
ensembl:lncRNA